AUGUACGCCGGCUCCAACCCCACCUCAGAGAUAAGGAAUUCAGACCUGCGCUUCAGCAUACCACCUAACCGUCUUCUUCAAGUAGUCCAUUCUGGUGGCGAUCUUCUCCUUGCUGAGGAAUGCAACAGACUGCAGAGCGCGCCUGAACAUUCCGGAGCCACGGGGCACACCUAUACCUUCGGCGCACGCAACCAUCUCCAGGACACGCGCUGGUUUGGCAUAAAGUAUCCUCGGCACACGGAUGAAGAGCUUGGCAAUAUCACAAGCACCCAGCCCGCACUCUGCUAG
rnacentral:rRNA from 1 species